rnacentral:rRNA from 1 species
UGCGAAAGCGUGGGUAGCAAACAGGAUUAGAUACCCUGGUAGUCCCACGCCGUAAACGAUGUCGACCAGCCGUUGGGUGCCUAGCGCACUUUGUGGCGAAGUUAACGCGAUAAGUCGACCGCCUGGGGAGUACGGCCGCAAGGUUAAAACUCAAAUGAAUUGACGGGGGCCCGCACAAGCGGUGGAGCAUGUGGUUUAAUUCGAUGCAACGCGAAGAACCUUACCUACUCUUGACAUCCUGCGAAUUUGGUAGAGAUACCUUAGUGCCUUCGGGAACGCAGAGACAGGUGCUGCAUGGCUGUCGUCAGCUCGUGUUGUGAAAUGUUGGGUUAAGUCCCGUAACGAGCGCAACCCUUGUCCUUAUUUGCCAGCGCGUAAUGGCGGGAACUCUAAGGAGACUGCCGGUGACAAACCGGAGGAAGGUGGGGACGACGUCAAGUCAUCAUGGCCCUUACGAGUAGGGCUACACACGUGCUACAAUGGUCGGUACAAAGGGUUGCCAACUCGCGAGAGUGAGCCAAUCCCGAAAAGCCGAUCUCAGUCCGGAUCGGAGUCUGCAACUCGACUCCGUGAAGUCGGAAUCGCUAGUAAUCGUGGAUCAGAAUGCCACGGUGAAUACGUUCCCGGGCCUUGUACACACCGCCA